rnacentral:rRNA from 1 species
AACGCUGGCGGCGCACAUAAGACAUGCAAGUCGAACGGACUUAACCUAUAGUUUACUAUUGGAGCGGUUAGUGGCGGACUGGUGAGUAACACGUAAGCAACCUGCCUAUCAGAGGGGAACAACAGUUAGAAAUGACUGCUAAUACCGCAUAUGCCUUGAGUAUCGCAUGAUACAAGAGGGAAAGGAGCAAUCCGCUGAUAGAUGGGCUUGCGUCUGAUUAGAUAGUUGGUGGGGUAACGGCCUACCAAGUCGACGAUCAGUAGCCGGACUGAGAGGUUGAACGGCCACAUUGGGACUGAGAUACGGCCCAGACUCCUACGGGAGGCAGCAGUCGGGAAUAUUGCGCAAUGGAGGAAACUCUGACGCAGUGACGCCGCGUGCAGGAAGAAGGUUUUCGGAUUGUAAACUGCUUUAGACAGGGAAGAACAAGGACAGUACCUGUAGAAUAAGCUCCGGCUAACUACGUGCCAGCAGCCGCGGUAAUACGUAGGGAGCAAGCGUUAUCCGGAUUUAUUGGGUGUAAAGGGUGCGUANACGGGAAGGCAAGUUGGUUGUGAAAUCCCUCGGCUUAACUGAGGAACUGCAACCAAAACUAUCUUUCUUGAGUGCUG